rnacentral:rRNA from 1 species
AUUGAACGCUGGCGGCAGGCCUAACACAUGCAAGUCGAGCGAGCGGCGGACGGGUGAGUAAUGUCUGGGAAACUGCCUGAUGGAGGGGGAUAACUACUGGAAACGGUAGCUAAUACCGCAUACCAUCAGAUGUGCCCAGAUGGGAUUAGCGGGUAGGUGGGGUAACGGCUCACCUAGGCGACGAUCCCUCGCUGGUCUGAGAGGAUGACCGGCCACACGGGAACUGGGACAGGGUCCAUACUCCUACGGAAGGAGGCGGAGGGGAAUAUUGCACAAUGGGGGCAAGCCUGACGCAGCCAUGCCGCGGGUGUGAAGAAGGCCUUCGGGUUGUAAAGCACGUUCAGCGGGGAGGCGUUACCCGCAGAAGAAGCACCGGCUAACUCCGUGCCAGCAGCCGCGGUAAUUC